rnacentral:antisense_RNA from 1 species
CUUUGGGGAGGGGGUGGGAGAGACGACAGGUCUGGGAUCAGGGAGUCUUCAAGGCCCCCGCUGAGGGGACAGCGAAUCUACCAUUGAACCGUGCACGGGGGACAUGGACGAAAUGAGACGCGACAGGGACAAGAGCAUUUUGCUCUGCUUCCAGGAAACAUCAAGUCUACUUCGCUUGAAAAGAUCGAGAAUGGGGGAGGGGAUCGUCACUCACUUGCAGACAUCAACAGUUUCCAGAAAACUCGGUUCAAUUCCUUCACCACGGACCCACCAACCAAGGAGCUGGCAAGACCCACCAGCCAACCAGGAGAACACAGACCCGGUUUGUCUUUUGACAACCGAGUGGAACUGACGGGGCCGGCGCCUGCCCUGCGGGUCCCCUCCCUUGGCUGAGAAGAAAACCAAAUAAACCUUGAACAGC